rnacentral:rRNA from 1 species
AGCAGUAGCCACGGGAAAACGAAGGGGGCUAGCGUUGUUCGGAAUUACUGGGCGUAAAGGGCGCGUAGGCGGCCAUUCAAGUUAGAUGUGAAAGCCCUGGGCUCAACCUAGGAAUUGCAUUUGAUACUGUUUGGCUUGAGUUCGGGAGAGGUGAGUGGAAUUCCCAGUGUAGAGGUGAAAUUCGUAGAUAUUGGGAAGAACACCAGUGGCGAAGGCGGCUCACUGGACCGACACUGACGCUGAGGCGCGAAAGCGUGGGGAGCAAACAGGAUUAGAUACCCCGGUAGUCCCUGUCUCUUAUAC